GAAAUACGAUAGGUAAUGUAAAUUGCAGAAUUCAGUGAAUCAUCGAAUUUUUGGACGCAUAUUGCGCCCGCUAGCACUCUGGCAGGCAUGCCCGUUCGCGCGUCAUUUCAGCACACAGGUCUUAGCCGCCUGGCGUUGGGGCGCUGCGGCCCGGUCCACAGGCCCCCAAAUUAGCGGUGGACCCGCCGCGGCCCUGAGUAUAGUAGUUGACAAAGCCUCGCUCCGGAGGCCGCGGUGCGGCCCUGCCCCGCCCAAUAGCGCGCAAUGCGUAAGCAAAGUUGACCUCAGAGUAGGUAGGACUACCCGCAAAACUUAA
rnacentral:misc_RNA from 1 species